CAGCAAGUAGCAGUUUGCAAAUAUGACAAGCUGGCAAAAAGGAGAACGAACAGGAGUCAAGAGCCAUGGUUCAAGAUGGUACCCCAGAUCUCCUGCGCAGAAGGGAGGAAGCUAUAGUUACUGAAAUUGUUUGAUGGAUGUUACACUUGUGAGCUCGUGACAUCAGUAGACAAACUGUUCUGAAAAAUAUUUAAUAUUUAUGUAGCUUGUAUAAAAUAAACCUGACCUGCACCUUCCCAUGGAAGGUGUGCCUAUUUA